rnacentral:rRNA from 1 species
ACUCCUACGGGAGGCAGCAGUGGGGAAUAUUGGACAAUGGGCGCAAGCCUGAUCCAGCAGUGCCGCGGGAGUGAAGACGGCCUGCGGGUUGUAAAGCCCUUUAGGUGGGGAAGAAGAGUGGAGCGCGAACACCGUUUUACUUUGACAUUACCCACGGAAUAAGCACCGGCUAACUCCGUGCCAGCAGCCGCGGUAAU